AGGGCAGCAGUGGGGGAAUUUUGCGCAAUGGGGGAAAACCCCUGACGCAGCAACGCCCGCGUGAGUGAUGAAGGCCCUUCGGGUUGUAAAGCUCUUUUAGUGGGGAAGAAGCCCUCCAGGACUAAUAAUCCUGGGGUCUGACGGUACCCACAGAAAAAGUUCCGGCUAACUACGUGCCAGCAGCCGCGGUAAUACGUAGGGAGCAAGCGUUGUUCGGAAUUAUUGGGCGUAAAGAGCGCGUAGGCGGUUCGGUAAGUCUGACGUGAAAUCCCGGAGCUUAACUCCGGAACUGCGUUGGAUACUGCCGGGCUUGAGUGUGGGAGAGGAGAGUGGAAUUCCCAGUGUAGAGGUGAAAUUCGUAGAUAUUGGGAGGAACACCCGUGGCGAAGGCGGCUCUCUGGACCACAACUGACGCUGAGGCGCGAAAGCUAGGGGAGCAAACGGGAUUAGAUACCCCGGUAGUCCUAGCCGUAAACGAUGGGCACUAGGUGUUGGAGGUAUCGACCCCUCCAGUGCCGCAGCUAACGCAUUAAGUGCCCCGCCUGGGGAGUACGGUCGCAAGACUAAAACUCAAAGGAAUUGACGG
rnacentral:rRNA from 1 species